GAACCUUCUCAUACUGCAAUUAACUGUGCAAGUGGGUAGAGCUAAUUUCCAUAAAAUAAUCACUGCAUAUCUUAGGAAAAGACCCUCUUUGAAAGCAGGCUGCUAGGGCGCCGGCAUCUGAGCAAAGCACCAGAGACGUCCGACCAAUUUGAUUCUUGAAGCCGCCGGUGAAAUCUAUUUUGAUUUUAGAAUGACCCGCAAUCACAGACAAUUUACCUGAUUGUGUGUUCCUGGUGACUCUCAAAGCCUUCUAGGUGCUAGGAUUUGUAGGUAUAGUUUGUGGAUUUAAAAGAGGGGAAAGAUAAUAUAAGAAAAAAAAAACACAGGAAAAAAGCAGAAGGUAGUUUCAGCAGCUUAAGAUUAUGAGUUCAGAACAGAACCUGCAAUUUUCACCUAGAGUAUCACGUUAGACUGGAAGAACUGUUGAGAUACUGCUAACUGGUCACGACAUUCAGAUUUGAAACAAGAUUUGAAAUCUCCUUGUCUUGUUGUAGAAAUGGCCUUCCUCUAAUCUGAUGUGAAAUGACUGGGUUCUGUUUGAAGGACCAAGCAGUAAAAGAACUUGCAUCAAAAACUGCACCUCCACCAAGGACUCAGGUUCCAAUGUGGAAGGACUACCCUCCAGCUCCUUCACUGAGUGCAAUCGGAUAAGGGCUUAUGUCUUCCUCAAUGGGCAACUCCUGUUUCAUUUUCUCUCCAGUCUGCAUGUUAUCAGCUUGACAUUCCCUUCAGUGGCAUAUGACAAAUCAAAUUGAUCAAAUUGGCCAUCACUGCAUUCAUCAGAGGAGGAUUUUUUUAUUUCCCAGGACUGAUACCUCCACUCCCUUUACAAUCAUGAACACAUCAAAAAUAAAUAAAUAAAUAAAAUAAAAAUAA